rnacentral:tRNA from 1 species
UGGGGUGUGGCUCAGUGGUAGAGCGCUCCCCAAGCACGUGCGAAGCCCUGGGUUCCACCCUCAGCACCACAU